GGUGCUGCAUGGCUGUCGUCAGCUCGUGUCGUGAGAUGUUCGGUUAAGUACCGCUAACGAGCGCAACCCUCGCCGUAUGUUACAAGUGUCAUACGGGACUGCCGGUAAAAGCCGGAGGAAGGUGAGGAUGAUGUCAAGUCAGCAUGACCUUUAUAUCCAGGGCUACACACACGCUACAAUGGUCUGUACAAUUGGUUGCCAAGCCGCGAGGCGGAGCCAAUCCGUAAAGCAGGCCUCAGUUCAGAUUGCAGUCUGCAACUCGACUGCAUGAAGCCGGAGUUGCUAGUAACCGCAGGUCAGCAAUACUGCGGUGAAUACGUUCCCGGGUCUU
rnacentral:rRNA from 1 species